rnacentral:rRNA from 1 species
UACUAGGAGGUGCAGUGUCGUGAAUUAUUGGGCGUAAAGCGCGCGCAGGCGGUUUCUUAAGUCUGAUGUGAAAGCCCACGGCUCAACCGUGGAGGGUCAUUGGAAACUGGGGAACUUGAGUGCAGAAGAGAAAAGCGGAAUUCCACGUGUAGCGGUGAAAUGCGUAGAGAUGUGGAGGAACACCAGUGGCGAAGGCGGCUUUUGGUCUGUAACUGACGCUG